GCGUGAGUGAUGAAGGCCCUAGGGUUGUAAAGCUCUUUCGGCGGGGACGAUAAUGACGGUACCCGCAGAAGAAGCCCCGGCUAACUUCGUGCCAGCAGCCGCGGUAAUACGAAGGGGGCUAGCGUUGUUCGGAAUCACUGGGCGUAAAGCGCACGUAGGCGGAUUAUUAAGUCAGGGGUGAAAUCCCGAGGCUCAACCUCGGAACUGCCUUUGAUACUGGUAAUCUUCGAGUCCGAGAGAGGUGAGUGGAACUCCGAGUGUAGAGGUGAAAUUCGU
rnacentral:rRNA from 1 species